GGGGCUCUUGGCCCUUCCCUUCUCCUCCCCAGGAGAACAGGAGCCAGAAGCCUCUGGCAGAAUCUGGGCAGAGGCUGUGAUGUCUUUCCCAUCUCUCCCCGGAAAGGGCCCCGCUAUCCCUGCUGUCCCCACUGCCCUGGGGAGGCCCCCUGGCACCCCUAUUCCUGGUGUCACCCGCCCCUGUGCCCAGAGGUGCUGCAUCUGGUGGAGUUCCAGCUGGAGGAGGGCAUCAGUGAUGAGGAGGCCGUGGCCCCUCAUUGACCUGGAGGCACCACAGCACCAGCAGGAGGACAGGUGGCAAGAGGUCGCAAAUUUCCAGACACUGAGGCUGGAUGAGACCGUGGAUCCCACGGGGAUGAUGACCCGCUCACAGCCAAGCUGAGCUUUGAGCAGGGCAGCUCAGAGUUUGUGCCCGUGGUAGUGGGGCUGCAGUGCUUCGGAUCCAUGAGCCGCCGUGACGUCCUCAUCAAACGCUGGCCCCUGCCCCCGCGCUGGCAGUACUUCCGCCCCUCGCUGCUGCCCGACAUCGCCAUCACCAUGUGUGCCCCUCCUGCUUCCAGAUGUUCUACUCUGAGGACUAUGAGCUGCUAGUGCUCCAGCACAGCUGCUGCCCCUACUGCCGCCGGCGCAUCAACAACCCAGGGCCGUGACCAGGGCUGUGCUGGUGACCACCCUGUGGCCCGGAGGUUGGACAGCAGCAAAGUGGUGAUGAAGUCUGUUCCUGGGAGGGCCUGGCGUUGCCACGGAGCCCCUCCCUGUUCAUGGCUGUUCCUGCCUAUUGGUACUGCCAGGAGCUGGGAGGAGAAUGCACAGCUAUUUUCUACGAGAAACUCCUGUUCCUUCUGGAGGGGCUCAAGUGGCCAGCCUCAGCCUGCUGGAGAGCAUGGACCUCGUGGGCCAGCGGCCUGCUCUGUGGCCCCAGAUUGCACAAUAAUGACAAAUAAAGAACUACAUAUUUUCAUCAAUGUCUCCAUUUUUAGCAGAUCUUCAUAUUGUCUGCAACUUAAUUUCCUUAUGUAAAAGUGCACCUGUUUCUAAUUUGAUCUGAGAGGAACAUUGCAUUUGUGUGCUCUUAAAAUUUAAUCUAAUUGAAACAGCAGCCUGG
rnacentral:lncRNA from 1 species